rnacentral:lncRNA from 1 species
CAAAGUCAUGUGGACGAGGGUAGUGUAGCCAAUAUCCUGCAACUUUUAGUAGUCCAAUAAAUAGGCAUGGAGGCCAAGAUCAACAAGUCAGCUAGGUCUCUGACUGGCUUCAAUGGAGCAAGUACCCCUUAAUGAAAGCCCGAGAAAGACGUCGAGCUAGUACCCCUUGAUCUUGACAAGCGAGAGAGAAGCGCUGAUCAAUUGGCUUCUAAGCCUAGAAGAGAAGGUGGAGCUGACCACUUUCCUCAAGAACAAUAAAGACGUGUUCACAUGGUCACCAUUUAACAUGCUAGGCAUCAAUCCGC